ensembl:ncRNA R10E12.10 ncRNA
CCUUUUUUUCCGGCAUUUUCACUUUUUGAGCGUUCUGAGUCAAGUGGAAAGUUAAAAUUUUUCAAAAUUAUCACAAAAUCUUUAGCACAUAAGGGAAUAGGGUCAGUUAACAU